AAUUCGCCCUUAGAGUUUGAUCAUGGCUCAGAUUGAACGCUAGCGGCAUGCUUAACACAUGCAAGUCGAACGGCAGCGCGGGGAGCUUGCUCCCUGGCGGCGAGUGGCGGACGGGUGAGUACAACAUAGGAAUUUGCCUUUAGGUGGGGGACAACUUGAGGAAACUCAAGCUAAUACCGCGUAUUCCCUACGGGGGAAAGCAUGGGAUCUUUUAGACCAUGCACCUAAAGAGAAGCCUAUGCCGGAUUAGCUUGUUGGUGGGGUAAAGGCCUACCAAGGCGAUGAUCCGUAGCUGGUCUGAGAGGAUGAUCAGCCACACUGGGACUGAGACACGGCCCAGACUCCUACGGGAGGCAGCGGUGGGGAAUAUUGGACAAUGGGCGAAAGCCUGAUCCAGCAAUGCCUUGUGUGUGAAGAAGGCCUGCGGGUUGUAAAGCCCUUUCAGGAGGGAGGAAG
rnacentral:rRNA from 1 species